AUUGUUUUUAAGAUAAUUUGGUUUAGAGAUUUAGGAAUUGUGCAAAGCUGAUACAGUGCAAUAUCAACUGUUAUUGCGCUCCACAACUGUUAACACCAGUUGUUACAGCUACUUCUUAUUAUUAUUUGAACACAUAAGUGAUUUUAUCAAAAUAAUUUGAAGUAUUUAUUGUUGCCACAUAAACGUAGCAAAUAAGAAUGAAGCUAUGGCAGUAAACGUAAUGUUGACACAAAAAUGCCAAAUCUCAAGUUGAAUGGUUCAUCUAAAUCUAUUAAAACGGAUGCAAGCACUAAAGAAGACAAUAGCGAUACACAUUGAAGAGAAAGUUUAUAAAGAAUCAUGUUGACGAUUGGACAUGAAUCGCAGAAAAGCACCAUUGUCGAAUGAUUAUGAAUCAAAUCUUUGUAUUAUAACUGCGUAAAUAUAUUUUAAAAUU